GAACGGGGGAAAAAAUGUAGAUCGAGUCGCGUGAAAAGAGUCACCACAAAUGACCGGUGACGCUUUUCGAACGACGGUUUUAUCAGGGACCAACCAAACAAGGGAGAUACACGAAAGUCCAGUAGCCGUCCUUCGUCUUGGGCAACUGCAUCGGUAAUCGCGGCUCGCUAUAGCUUUCAAGAAAAAGGUAAAGAAACCCAAAGACGCCCGACAGAAAUUAAUGCUUGACCGCAAUUUUAAAUGACACUCCUCGUCAAGGUUACUAUUGAUUCGACGUCUUUGUAAUGAUAGGACGAAAAUAUUAUCGCUAUACAAUGCGGCACAACUUGAUUACACAACGUAAAAUUAACAUAUUUGUACAACCUUUUGAUUGCGCAACCGCUUAACGAUUUUGUUUAGUAUUCGGCGAGAAUUUGUAGUAACUCUGCGUAGUGAAAGGAAAAGUGUGAAUCCUUCGUAUUGCUGUUCAAGAUUGCGAAAUGUCAGUCUACAAAAUAGACAAAAGUGUCCGCGUGUAUGUUCACGUGUAUGUGAAUUUUAUCAUUCGUCGGAGUGUACCGGGAUGAAUGGGCGCCGACACACGAGAUGCGGUCCUCAUCUUUCAGCGGAUAUAACAUCUAAUUCGGAGAAUCGAACUAGUCUACGACCUCGCUUAUUCAGUUUGGGUCGUUUCAAUUCAGGCCGAUCGCGAAAGCGAGAGUGCGCGCCCCGAAGGAUACUAGACAAGUGUAACUCGUAUGCGAUGUGGGACACCGAAAACCCAUUGACGAACAUAUCUCUUCAGCCUGCCUCCCGAAGAGCGCUCGCAACUAAUUUACUGGUGAUCCGGACCUAAUGACCGCACCAACGAAUCAUUAUCAAGUCAUCAAAUCAUCGCUUGGCCGUCCGCUAAACGUUCUUGUCCGGCUCGGAAAAAAAGCCAGGAGCGAAAUAAUAUGGCGAGCAGUAAAACUUUCAUAUUUCGAAAUGACGUACGUCCAGCUUGUUAAGCAAUAGUUACUGAUAGAACGACGAAUCAUCAAAUUGGAAGUUGCAAUGUGUUACGACAUGUGAAGCUCUGAAGAAAGAAGUAAGCCGAUUAUCUCCCAUCGGUUAAAUUAUGAGCCACUCAUCUGUUUUCCUUUCGGAGAGAUAAUUAAGUUCGAAAGUAAAAUAUAAAAUGCAAUCAGCCACAACAAAAUAUUCAAAAUGCCUCCGGCGAUAGACAUCGGACGACAAGCACAUUCUCUUUAAAGACUUCGAGGUGAACUUCGUGCAGUGAUAACGGCGCUAUUAUAUUUUUCAUAAACAAAAUUUUUCAUAAACACAAUUUUUUAAUCUUUUUUUUUAAUCAUUUAUCCUUAUUGAGAAAAAAAAUUUCUCCAGUAAAAUCGUUACUUCUAUUUUUCAUCGUUAAAUUCUUUAAUAAUGGAAAAUUGAUUAUCGUUACAUCCGUUAUAUAAAAAGUAUUAUAUUAUUAACUUUUCAGCAGUCUCCGAAAUAGCUUGCAUAUGGGUCAGUCAAGAUCGUUAUCGAACUUGUCUCUUGAACCUGCAUGUCGAUGUAUGUCAGUAAGAGUUCUAUUACAGUCUACAGUUCUAUUAUAAAUCGGUCGUAGUCUGGACGAUUGUGGCCUAUACGUUCCAGUGAUUAUCAUUUAUCGCUAAUCGCGAUUAUUAUCAAAUUAAUUCGGCCGACAGAAAUUGUCAGGUUACAGAACAUAGAAUAAUAAUAUAAAUACAUAUUUUGUCAUACUUUUACUUUACAUCAAUAAUAUUUCUAUUCUUCGACAACGCAAUCUUUAUAUAAACGAUGGAUAUAGAACUUUUACUGUUUAACUAAGAUUGUAACAUAGUUUAUCUUUAUGCAGUGUUUUUAUGUAAUUUCCAACAAUUGAUAAAAUACGAAAAUGGAUGUGAGAUGAGAAUACCGGAGAACACAUGGAAAGAACAGGUUUUGCUCAAGUGCCUAAAAAUUUAGCUAGAUACAGAUCUGAAAAUAAUUUUAUUUAAUCAUUAAAUUAGUUGUAUAGAACGCUUACAGCAUAAUAAAUAAUGUUGGCCUUCUAGUAACCAGUUUGAGUGUGCUACAUAUUUAUUGUGAUGGUCAAACUAAAUUAUAUUCAAAUCUGUAUCUAAGGUCCGAUUCCACAACUCACGGUUAAAUUAACUGGCCGAUUAUUCCAUUGGAAUUGACCAAUCGUAUUUGUCGUUAAGCAAAAUUAACAAAUACGUUUUAAUACGUUAGUAUUAUAAAGCCAUUCUUUCCGUGUAACUACGUAAAAAUUAUCCUUCUCCCUGCCCCUCCCAAAAUAAUAAAGAUAUAAUGAGCUUCAAAGAAGUCACUCUGAUAAAAAAAAUUACUAUACAAUAUCUCAAUAAGCAUAAAAUUCUCACUUACCAUAUUAUUACAAUAAUAUUCAAUAACAUGUGACGUUCAAAUAAUUAUUAAUAAAUUAAUAAAUUUAACGUGCAUAGUAUACAACAUUAAUAUGAACAAACUUUAAUUUGCAGAUAAUGUUUCUAAAACAUUUUAAUAAUGUUUCGAAAAAAAAAUAAAAACCAUGUAUUAAUAUUUUUAAAAUAUUUUUAAAAUAUCUACAUCAUAUUAUUUUAAAACAUAAGAAAUACACAUGAAAUUAACAUUUCCAA